UACGUAGGGUCCGAGCGUUGUCCGGAAUUACUGGGCGUAAAGAGCUCGUAGGUGGUUUUGUCGCGUUGUUCGUGAAAACUCACAGCUUAACUGUGGGCGUGCGGGCGAUACGGGCAGACUAGAGUACUGCAGGGGAGACUGGAAUUCCUGGUGUAGCGGUGGAAUGCGCAGAUAUCAGGAGGAACACCGGUGGCGAAGGCGGGUCUCUGGGCAGUAACUGACGCUGAGGAGCGAAAGCGUGGGAGCAAACAGG
rnacentral:rRNA from 1 species